rnacentral:rRNA from 1 species
AGCCGAUGCUUAUUCUUCAGGUACACGUCAUUUUGUUCCUCCCUGAAAAAAGAGGUUUACAACCCAUAGGCAGUCAUCCCUCACGCGAGAUUGCUCCGUCAGGCUUUCGCCCAUUGCGGAAAAAUUCCCC